GCUAUACCUCUAAGAGGCCCCCAUAGUUUUACAAGAAAGCUUUGUCUAUAGAACAUAGAAUUUGCAUGUCAGCAAGAAAUAGCUUUGAUAAAAUGUGUAUUUACUAAAAGCCUUGAAACCUAGCCUUGAGAAAGUAACAAGUGCCAGUUACGCUCUAAAUGGAUAGCUGCCAAAAGGCCCCUCCCGUCGAGUGAGCUCCUCAUUUUAACAAGAUGGCGCUAAAACCUGUAGGAGUUAAGAAAUUACGUAGAUAGUGACCUAAGAAUGGGGAGGGCAUUUUACUAACAUCUUAGCACCUAAGCCAAUUAACAAUGUCUAUUUGUCUAUAUCUUGAUUUUCUUCAAUGAUGUAAUAAUGCCUUUAUAAGGGUCUGCGCACCCAUUUUCUGUCAGAAGCCAUUAAACUUCUCUGAAGUUCUUUCAUUACCCUGAACCUUGUGUCUCAGUGUGAAUUUACUUCUGCGUGCACGCAACUUUAUUAUCUUUAAUUUGGACAGGAACAGAUAGUCAUUCAAACUAAUUGGUUUGCAGUAAAUCAUCUAGAACAGU